rnacentral:tRNA from 1 species
UAGCUCAGUGGUAGAGUGUGUGUUUAGCAUGUACAAGGGCCUGGGUUCAAUCCUCAG